AGUUUGACGGCCGUGAAACUUCCAUGGUGGCGCCGGCGCGACGUUCGCUUUGAGUGUAGAUCCGGUGUGUGCUGCGUUUGUAGAAGGCUAGCGUUCCAAGCAGACUGGUGUAGGCUACAUGUAAACAAAAAAAGUGAAUCAGACACAUACAGCUUACAACUAAAUGUGAGACAGAAACAGAAAAAAGUUCUGAUGUGUGGAACAGCAGGCUGUGAUCUGUUGUGUAAAUAUCAGCUCUGCUCCAAGUGUUGCGGGCGAGGCUCUAGAUCUUUACAGCUGCAUCUGGGGAAGUAUGAUGAGGUGCUAAGUGUGUCAUAAAGGCAGAUCAGCACUCUCUAAAUCAGGUGGAAUUCCUAAAGCAUUUAAGACCUGAAGAUUUAGUACCAAGGGUGUAAAAACCCCUAUAAAAUAAUUGUUUAGAAAAUGGAAACUUGGACCUGUUGGAUCUCCACAGAUGAGGAAAUGAAGUGCAUACAGGAAGCCAAAUUCAAUAAAGCUGAGGUUCAAUAACUUUCAAAAGGAAACAGAAUGGAAAAGCCUAUGAUGUUGUCCCCUGAUGGCAUAACACUGCAUGAGUGUGAACAGCACACCCAGAGAAAAUAGGUUCGUCUUUCCAUCACUAUGGUGCUAGCAACCAAGCAACAUAAACCUUGCCAAGUUAAGCCACAUGCUAUACUUUAUUGCAUUUUUAAAUGUUCCUGUUUCGUUUAUUUUCCUCCUGUUUACCUGGAGACAAUAAAAAUAUGAGUUCUGACAUGUUUUUGCCUACCUUUGAAAGACCUGGUGUGGAUUUUCAAUGUGGUUCCAGACUAUUCGACCCCAUUGUAUACAAUGUGGAUAUGACACAUGGAAAAACUUAUGAUAAAUGCACAUUGAUUAAUGGAUUCUUGAUGGUCUAAAGGCUGUAUCAUGUGUAUUUCUUUGAAUAAUCUAAAUAAACACUUACAUCACGGUCUAGAAAUAUUGGUAACAAACAUGGAAUUCGCACAUCAAACCCAUAACUGCAUUUAUGCUGAAAUACACAAACCCUUUCAAUAUAGAAUACUGUGCUGUUUAUUGUGUCAUAAAAAAAAAAAACAAAUAAAAAAAAAACAGAAAGCUAUCACACAUUCAUUCAUGCAACCAGUUCCAUAUCUGGUAUUAACCUGCAUGCAAAACCCACUAAUCAUUUCCAAAUCAAAUAGCCCCCAUGAGAGAAAGUUCUGAGUGUAAUUUUGUCUCACUGAGAGACUGAUGACCAAGCUGUACCGCUUUGUGGUUCAUUUGCAGCUGCAAAGCAGGAAAGCCUUACGGCAACAUUAACUACAAUGAAACUAAAACAACCACAAUGAAA